rnacentral:rRNA from 1 species
UACGUAGGGUGCAAGCGUUGUCCGGAAUUAUUGGGCGUAAAGAGCUCGUAGGCGGUUUGUCGCGUCGGAUGUGAAAGCCCGGGGCUUAACCCCGGGUCUGCAUUCGAUACGGGCAGACUGGAGUGUGGUAGGGGAGAUCGGAAUUCCUGGUGUAGCGGUGAAAUGCGCAGAUAUCAGGAGGAACACCGAUGGCGAAGGCAGGUCACUGGGCCGCAACUGACGCUGAGGAGCGAAAGCAUGGGGAGCGAACAGG